UACGGAAGGCAGCAGUGGGGAAUAUUGCACAAUGGGCGCAAGCCUGAUGCAGCCAUGCCGCGUGUAUGAAGAAGGCCUUCGGGUUGUAAAGUACUUUCAGUCGUGAGGAAGGUGUUAAGGUUAAUAACCUUAGCAAUUGACGUUAGCGACAGAAGAAGCACCGGCUAACUCCGUGCCAGCAGCCGCGGUAAUACGGAGGGUGCGAGCGUUAAUCGGAAUUACUGGGCGUAAAGGGCACGCAGGCGGUUAAUUAAGUUGGAUGUGAAAUCCCCGGGCUUAACCUGGGAAUGGCAUUCAAGACUGGUUAGCUAGAGUCUUGUAGAGGGGGUAGAAUUCCAUGUGUAGCGGUGAAAUGCGUAGAGAUGUGGAGGAAUACCGGUGGCGAAGGCGGCCCCUGGCAAAGCUGACGCUCAUGCGCGAAAGCGUGGGGAGCAAAC
rnacentral:rRNA from 1 species